GUGGGGAAUCUUCCGCAAUGGGCGAAAGCCUGACGGAGCAACGCCGCGUGAGUGAUGAAGUUCUUCGGAACGUAAAACUCUGUUGUUCACGACGAACGGGGGGACCAGGAAAUGGGUUUCCAGUGACGGUAGUGAACGAGGAAGCCACGGCUAACUACGUGCCAGCAGCCGCGGUAAUACGUAGGUGGCAAGCGUUGUCCGGAAUUAUUGGGCGUAAAGCGCAUGUAGGCGGUUCCUUAAGUCGGUCGUGAAAAUGCGGUGCUUAACGCCGUAUGGCGAUCGAAACUGGGGGACUUGAGUGCAGGAGAGGAAAGGGGAACUCCCAGUGUAGCGGUGAAAUGCGUAGAUAUUGGGAAGAACACCGGUGGCGAAGGCGCCUUUCUGGACUGUGUCUGACGCUGAGAUGCGAAAGCCAGGGUAGCGAACGGGAUUAGAAACCCUAGUAGUCC
rnacentral:rRNA from 1 species